GGUGCUUGCCCUCCAUGGGCGUUUCCUCCCUAGACUCCGGGCCGCCCGCGAGGGCGGCCCUUCUUUUAUUCACCC
rnacentral:sRNA from 1 species